rnacentral:rRNA from 1 species
UACCAGCACCCCGAGUGGUCGGGACGAUUAUUGGGCCUAAAGCAUCCGUAGCCGGUCCUGCAAGUCUUCCGUUAAAUCCAGCUGCUCAACAGAUGGGCUGCGGGGGAUACUACAGGGCUAGGAGGCGGGAGAGGCAAGCGGUACUUUAUGGGUAGGGGUAAAAUCCGUUGAUCCAUAGAAGACCACCAGUGGCGAAGGCGGCUUGCCAGAACGCGCUCGACGGUGAGGGAUGAAAGCUGGGGGAGCAAACGGG